GGUGUCAGGGGUUAUGGUAUGGCAUGCAUUAUGGUUAUGAUGACUUACAGUAUGGUAAGGAUAGAGUUGGUGUACUUUAUACAAAAUUCUGCACUUCAUUAUUGUACUUCAGAAAGGACUUUGACUUAUCAUCUUUUCUCUCCCCCUACUCUCUUUAUCAGUGACGACAAAGAACCUGAGGAUUGUGUUAUUCACUACAAAAUUGCAAAAUGGUUAGAGAAGUAAAGCUAAUCAAGAAUAUUCAAGCUCAACAAAAAGGUUGGACAGUAAAAGUGGUGGUUAUUGAGAAAGCAAUGCCACGAGUUUCUAAAUCAAGUCCAAACAAAUAUCAAAGGUUAAUCUUAGCUGAUG